CCUACGGGUGGCUGCAGUGGGGAAUAUUGCACAAUGGGGGAAACCCUGAUGCAGCGACGCCGCGUGAGUGAAGAAGUAAUUAGUUAUGUAAAGCUCUAUCAGUCGGGAAGAAAAUGACGGUACCUGAGUAACAAGCCGCGGCUAACUACGUGCCAGUAGCCGCGGUAAAACGUCGGGGGCAAGCGUUAUCCGGAUUUACUGGGUGUAAAGGGAGCGUAGACGGCAGUGCAAGUCUGGAGUGAAAGGUGGGGGCUCAACCCCCGUACUGCUGUGGAAACUGUACGGCUGGAGUGCAGGAGAGGUAAGUGGAAUUCCUGGUGUAGCGGUGAAAUGCGUAGAUAUUAGGAGGAACACCAGUGGCGAAGGCGGCUUACUGGACUGUAACUGACGUUGAGGCUCGAAAGCGUGGGGAGCAAACAGGAUUAGAUACCCCUGUAGUC
rnacentral:rRNA from 1 species